CUGUGACCCGUGACUAAAGAGAGAAGACUCAUCAGGCGUGAGAAUCUGGCUGGAGGUUCCUUGGGGACUGGGUGGAAAGGAGCCAGAAGUCUCCACCACUGAAAGCACAACAUCAGAAAAAGAGCCGGAGAAUUAAAGGAGCCAUGAGGCAAAGCCCAGGACACCUGCGUUCCCUGAGGACAUAAAUCUGAGGAAUGGCUCCAGGGAACUUUGGCCUAAAAGUGUUGUCCUGAGACACAGGACACUGGCAGUUCCACACCAGUUGGCAUGGCUUGAGGCGUUCCAUGGCAAGGGCCAUCGAAACUGUGAGCAGCACUCACUACCUACAUCUGAUCCAUGGAGGCAAACUACUGAUAGGUGAGGUGGUCCUCUACCUGUGUAGUCACAAUCCAGUCAGGUAACAGCUGAGGCCACAACUUCCAAAUCUGCCAUAACACUGACUAGAAGGUCACGAGUCAUUUCUAGGGCUCAAAGUCUAAGACUCCAGGAAUCUGAUUUUAGCUGUAAGUGAAUUCACUAAAUCUGAUUUCACUACAGUGUGACCAAUGCUAGCCCUUCCCAGGUUUCCCUCUGGCACUCUCAUGCUUCCCAGGAAAUCCAUGAGAGUCAUAGCAAAGCCAGUCCUGUGGAGACAGACACUCCUGUGCACAUGAUGCUAGCAGGAGAACCUUUUCCAUGGGGUGGAAAUGUGUGCAGGGGUGCAGUGGCUUUAGGGGCCACUACUGCUAGGGAUGAGACUCCAUGCUGGCUUCCAAGUAACCAGGACACUAGAGGACUUUUCUGCCCAAAUGUGUGCUGCUAAGAUCUUUUCCUUGAGAGGCAUUAUAAGUUCAGAGGGCCCAAGAAA